rnacentral:sRNA from 1 species
UGUUAUAUAGCGUAUAGCCUUCCUCAGU